CUGAGGCUGAGGCUGAGGCUGAGGCUGAGGCUGCGGGUGAGGCUGAGGGUGAAGUUGACUACGGUCUUGCAAGUACUCACAAUGGAAACGACCUGCAAAUGAGCCCGUAUAGCCAGCUGAAACAACAGAGUAAAAUUAUCAAAAAUAUUGACAGUAGCCGAUCAGAAAAUCCCAAGAUAAAAAAUAAUCCAAACUUGAUCGAUAGACAGAGAAAAAAAUAAUAAUAAAGUAAACAUGGGAACUUUGUCUUUCCAACAUAAAUACACAGACGAGAUUCUUUCUUUUCCAGUUCUCUAUCACAAAACUUUAUGCAUAGCUUUGUUCAAAUUUCGUUAGUGGAAAGUUUGUAUUUCACAAAGAAACAGCAGUUCAUCAACAUCUUAUCUAUAAAAUUUUAUCACACGUUUUAAACCCACGCUUGUGCAAUAUUUAACUUUGCAACUGAAAUUGGGAAACGUAAAAAUAUCAAAAGGUAGCAGCAGAUCAGAAAAAAAUAAAGAAUCUAAAAUAAAUAAAAUUCGAUCUCCAUUUCCCGAUGGGGUAAAAAACUAUUAUUUUGAAAAUAAACCAACCUUGAUCUCCGUAUAUCCAUAUCUCUAAGUACCUUGUGACAGUGAAAAAAUGCAAAUAAUAAUAAUAAUAAUAAUAAUAAUAAUAAUAAUAAUAAUAAUAAAAUAAAUAAAUAGCCGAAGAAAAAAAAAUGAUCCAUUGUUAAUGACACAAAAAAAUUGCACUCAACUAAAUCCACAAUGCGGCUUAAAUUCCAUUCAUAUCCAAACACGUUUUAUUUCCUCGCGUAUACGUACAGAAGACGAACUUGAAAAUUCAAAGAGCAAAAGAUUAAAAACUCACAUACCUCGAAGGGCUUGUUCUGGAAAAUAAUUGUAACCCGGAGACUGAUUUGAGGCUUUUUGAUCAGUUGAGCGAUUCUUGUACUCCAUUCAAGAUUAUUGACGUAUUUCUAUGAGGACACAGAAUAUAACAAAGAUUAUCAGUUUUGUUUCAGUUGGGGAUUUCAAAUUUUUAGGGUUCUGCAAUUGGUCACCGAUUUUCCGAGUGGAGACAAGAGUUUCAAUGGGAGAAUACGGGUAAGUGUAAGAACGCGACGCUCCAUUAUGGGUCGUGCAGCACGUGAGAGCACCACUGUCCUUUGGCCUGUUAUUUC
rnacentral:lncRNA from 1 species